ACCUACGGGGGGCAGCAGUGGGGGAUAUUGCACAAUGGGGGAAACCCUGAUGCAGCGACGCCGCGUGAGUGAAGAAGUAUUUCGGUAUGUAAAGCUCUAUCAGCAGGGAAGAAAAUGACAGUACCUGACCAAGAAGCCCCGGCUAACUACGUGCCAGCAGCCGCGGUAAUACGUAGGGGGCAAGCGUUAUCCGGAUUUACUGGGUGUAAAGGGAGCGUAGACGGUUAUGUAAGUCUGGAGUGAAAGCCCGGGGCCCAACCCCGGGACUGCUUUGGAAA
rnacentral:rRNA from 1 species